CCCCGCCGUCAGUGUCAAAGCCACAGGGUGGUCAUGUGCUCCAGAGCGAUGGAGCAUGCGCGCUUCGUCCUCAAGCACCAUGUUGUGCUCCUGAUGACCACCGACAGCUUCAGCGCCGCCAGCCCGAUGUUGGUUCGCCACACCAUCGAGGCCCUACUGCGCAUCGGUCCGCACCUGCUGCGGGUCACUCGCCACCAUCCUGAAGACUUCCUCGUCCACUUCAACAUGCCAGCCGACCGCGACGCGCUCCUGCGCCAUAGAUCCAUCGACGUCGACUGGGUGCCCUUUCGAACCAAGCCUUGGAGGCCGAACGACCAUGCCGUUCACCAUAAAUGGUUGCUGCACAUCCGCAUCGUCAUCGAGCGGCUGCCCCUGGACAUGUGGAUGCUGGAGGCAGCGGAGGAGGUGCUCGGCCGCUUCUGCAUCAUCGACAGGUUCGACAGCCACACCAGCGAGCGUCGGGACACGCGGACCUUCGCCUGCUGGGCAUGGGUGUGGAGCCUCACCGACAUCCCCACCCGGGCACUGCCUCUCGAGCUUUGA
rnacentral:rRNA from 1 species